rnacentral:rRNA from 1 species
UGAGUGGAGGAUGAGAAACUAAACAGGAUUCCUUUAGUAAUGGCGAAUGAAGAAGGAGUAGCUCAACAUGAAAAUCUGGGCAUCUGGCCUUGAAUUGUAGUUUGAAGAUGCAUUUGCCAAUGGACAUGAUAAUGAAAGCCUUUUGGGAAAAAGCAUCAACGAGGGUGAGAAUCCUUCUUGACAUUUCAAUUGUCCAUGUACGGUGUGCAUUGAAGAUUCACGUUCCUUGGGAUUUGAACGCAAACUUGUUGGUAAAUUUCAUUUAAAGCUAAAUAUUGGUUUGAGACCGAUAGAAAACAAGUACCAUGAGGGAAAAGUGAAAAGGACUUUGAAAAGAAAGUUAAAAGUGCUUGAAAUUGCUGAAGAGGAAGCGGGUGUAUUUCGCACGCAAUUCUCAAGAUUGUUGCGCAUAUCUCUGAUACCUUGUUGUCUUGAUUUAAUUGCAGCAAUAAGUUAUAUUUGUGAAUGCGCAAUGUUGCUUGUGUUUUGUGCCUUCAUCGAUUCACAGCCAUAGAAACAAUCUAAACAUGAAUCUUUGCUCUUGUGCAAAAGAACAUUUAGGUUCAGAUUUAGCUUGUGGAUCGCUCUUAAUAUUGUUGAUUGCUUAAUCGUCCUUGCGCCUUGCGUGCGGGAUGAUUUCACGACAUGAAAAUGAUGGCCAAAGAAAUACAUUCGACCCGUCUUGAAACACGGACCAAGGAGUUUAACACAUGUGCAAGUUUGGGGUGUGAUGCUUCUUUGCGUAAUGAAAAUGAUAUUUGGUAUAUUCUUGCACCAAUAACCAACCGCUCAAUUGUGAGAGGUUUGAGUACGAGCAUAUUUGUUAAGACCCGAAAGAUGGUGAACUAUGCCUGGGAAGGGUAAAUUCAGGG